rnacentral:rRNA from 1 species
UACGUAGGGUGCAAGCGUUGUCCGGAUUUAUUGGGCGUAAAGAGCUCGUAGGCGGUCUGUCGCGUCGGAUGUGAAAACCCAGGGCUCAACCCUGGGCCUACAUUCGAUACGGGCAGACUAGAGUAUGGCAGGGGAGACUGGAAUUCCUGGUGUAGCGGUGAAAUGCGCAGAUAUCAGGAGGAACACCGGUGGCGAAGGCGGGUCUCUGGACAGUUCCUGACGCUGAGGCACGAAAGCCAGGGGAGCAAACGGG